GUGAUUAGUGACAAUUCACUCUGACCAAUCAGUAGUCGGCAGAUUUUCACGUCACCUUUUGGUAUCGCCUCAGCUCACUUGGAACCUCAACGGAGGCGAUACUAAAAAUAGUACCUGUUAGCUAGUACCAGGUACUUUUAUAAGUGAGUGAGAA